AUGUUAUUUACCAUAAAGGCCCAAGUCUCUCGCCACCUGUUUAAAUGGACCAAAGAAACAGCAUAUGCGGAUUAUUAUGAAUGAGCUCUGACAAAUGGUGUGCUAAGCAUCCAAAGAGGGACAGAGCCUGGAGUCAUGAUUUACAUGCUCCCACUUGGUCGUGGAGAUUCCAAGGCCAGAAGCUACCAUGGUUGGGGAAAACCAUUUGAGUCGUUCUGGUGCUGCUAUGGCACUGGAAUUGAAUCAUUCUCAAAGUUAGCAGAUUCCAUAUAUUUUGAAGAGGGAGGAGAAGUUCCUGGUCUUUACAUUAUCCAGUAUAUAUCAAGCUUGCUUGAUUGGAAAUCUGGACAAAUUGUGCUUAAUCAGACAGUUGAUCAAGUCAAUUCAUGGGAUCCUUACCUUAGGGUCACAUUGACAUUUUCUUCAAAGGAGGGGACAGGCAAAUCAUCUACCUUGAACUUGCGAAUGCCUAUUUGGACUGCUUCAAAUGGUGCAAAAGCAGCAUUGAAUGGUCAAAGUCUGAGUGUACCAGCUCCAGGUAGUUUCCUAUCUGUCACAAGCAAAUGGAGUUCUGGUGACACUUUGACCCUUCAGCUACCCAUUAGUCUAAGAACAGAGGCUAUUCAAGAUGAUCGGCCUGAGUAUGCUUCAAUUCAAGGAAUUCUUUAUGGUCCAUAUCUGCUUGCGGCUUAUACCAGCGGUAACUGGGGCAUUAAAACUGGCUCAGCUAAAACCGUCGCCGACUGGAUAACUCCAAUCCCUUCUUCAUACAAUAAUUUUUUGGUUUCCUUCUCCCAAGAAUAUGGAAACUCAAAAUUUGUCAUAGCUGUCGUAAACCAAUCGAUUUCAUUGGACGUCUUUCCUGAAACUGGCACUGACGCUUCUGCUCAUGCCACUUUCAGACUCAUUUUAAACGACUUGUCCACAAAGCUCUCUACAGUGAAUGAUGCAUUUGGCAAAUCAGUCAUUCUAGAACUGUUUAAUCUUCCAGGAAAGGUUUUAGUGCAGCAAGGGAAAGACAAGAAUCUUGGGAUAGCAGAUAUGUCCAGUAGUAAGGACUCUUCAGUUUUCCAAUUGGUUCCAGGUUUGGAUGGAAAGAACACCACAGUAUCCUUCGAGUCAGAAAGCUUCAAAGGUUGCUUUGUGCAUAGUGAAAACAUUGUGGCCAGUGCAGGCAUGAAGCUCGUCUGCAGUCCAGAGUUGUCGGAUGCUGGAUUCAACCAGGCAGCCAGCUUUGUAAAAAGUAAUGGAAUAAGCCAGCAUCAUCCUAUCAGCUUUGUGGCUAAAGGAGCAACAAGGAGCUUUCUUUUAGCACCAUUGUCAAGCUUCAAUGAUGAAUCUUACACUAUUAUCUCAACAUUACAGCCUGAUAAGUAGGAACAGGAUUGUGGAAACCGGAACGAAUCUAUUCGAUAUAAAACUAUUUAUGAAAGUUUUUUAUUUUUCUCACAGUGGCAGCCGUUCUUCAAAUUCCUUAAUUGCUUUUGCAGAUAGGAAUCUUAUUUAGAAAUCCCAGAGUAGUGUUCAUCUUGUCUAUUCAUCUUCUACUUGAUUUCUGAGGUUCCUGUUGUUAUUAGUAUCCAUGCUAAUAUGCUACAAA